rnacentral:snRNA from 1 species
UAUCUGAUAUGUCCUCUAUACGAGGACAAACAUAUUAAAGUGAUUUUGAGAGCUGGGAGCUGAAAAAGGGUCUUGCUCCGUUCGCUCCACGCAUCAUCCUGGCAUUGCAGUGCCGCCGGGUACGGUGC